GCUGCAAACGUAUAAUCAACUUUUUUUGUAUUGAACCUUGGAAUUUUCUUCCAAAACUUAAUUUUGUUGAGUAAGUUUUUAAAAUUUAUUAAAAUACCAUGAAUAACACAUAAGUAAUUAUUGUUUUCUGGAUUAUUGCAAAACCAUGUUAUGUUAAAACUAUCUCAAAUAUUCUAGAAUUGCAAAAGAUGCGCAAUAAUUCUUGUUUGACGUAUGUAAAACGCUGAAUGUAAAAAACAGGUUUUUUUGUUAUCUUAAACAAAUUCUAAUCAACUAAUUUACUUUCAAGCCUAUUUUAAAAUUCAUAAAAUUUACAUGUUAACCCACUUACAAAUACUUAUAAAAAGAGACAUGAGCUUCAAACUUCGUGACUUCAAACAAAAUCAUUAUGAAAUUCCUCGUUUUAAUAUUUUUGGGCUUAAUGUCCUUUGCCCAAACAAAACCCCAGAUUAAUUUUAUACCAGAUUGUUCUGCGAGAGCUAAUACUCAGUUUAUGACAUGUCAAUCCUCAACACAACCAACAUGUGAAAACCCAAACCCAGAAAUUCAACUGAUGGACUGUAAAAAUAUGUGUGUAUGCAAAUCUGGUUUCUUAUUAAAUGGAAAUGACUGUGUUCCAAGGAAUUCAUGCCCUACACCCGGUAAAGCUUUCUGGGGGUAACUUAGAAUUCAAAUUGAAUGUAGUUUUUGUUUAGAUUGUUCAAAUAUAGCAAACAGUGAGUUGAA